GUCGAGCGGAAACGAGUUAUCUGAACCUUCGGGGAACGAUAACGGCGUCGAGCGGCGGACGGGUGAGUAAUGCCUAGGAAAUUGCCCUGAUGUGGGGGAUAACCAUUGGAAACGAUGGCUAAUACCGCAUAAUGCCUACGGGCCAAAGAGGGGGACCUUCGGGCCUCUCGCGUCAGGAUAUGCCUAGGUGGGAUUAGCUAGUUGGUGAGGUAAUGGCUCACCAAGGCGACGAUCCCUAGCUGGUCUGAGAGGAUGAUCAGCCACACUGGAACUGAGACACGGUCCAGACUCCUACGGGAGGCAGCAGUGGGGAAUAUUGCACAAUGGGCGCAAGCCUGAUGCAGCCAUGCCGCGUGUGUGAAGAAGGCCUUCGGGUUGUAAAGCACUUUCAGUCGUGAGGAAGGUGGUGUAGUUAAUAGCUGCAUUAUUUGACGUUAGCGACAGAAGAAGCACCGGCUAACUCCGUGCCAGCAGCCGCGGUAAUACGGAGGGUGCGAGCGUUAAUCGGAAUUACUGGGCGUAAAGCGCAUGCAGGUGGUUUGUUAAGUCAGAUGUGAAAGCCCGGGGCUCAACCUCGGAAUAGCAUUUGAAACUGGCAGACUAGAGUACUGUAGAGGGGGGUAGAAUUUCAGGUGUAGCGGUGAAAUGCGUAGAGAUCUGAAGGAAUACCGGUGGCGAAGGCGGCCCCCUGGACAGAUACUGACACUCAGAUGCGAAAGCGUGGGGAGCAAACAGGAUUAGAUACCCUGGUAGUCCACGCCGUAAACGAUGUCUACUUGGAGGUUGUGGCCUUGAGCCGUGGCUUUCGGAGCUAACGCGUUAAGUAGACCGCCUGGGGAGUACGGUCGCAAGAUUAAAACUCAAAUGAAUUGACGGGGGCCCGCACAAGCGGUGGAGCAUGUGGUUUAAUUCGAUGCAACGCGAAGAACCUUACCUACUCUUGACAUCCAGAGAACUUUCCAGAGAUGGAUUGGUGCCUUCGGGAACUCUGAGACAGGUGCUGCAUGGCUGUCGUCAGCUCGUGUUGUGAAAUGUUGGGUUAAGUCCCGCAACGAGCGCAACCCUUAUCCUUGUUUGCCAGCGAGUAAUGUCGGGAACUCCAGGGAGACUGCCGGUGAUAAACCGGAGGAAGGUGGGGACGACGUCAAGUCAUCAUGGCCCUUACGAGUAGGGCUACACACGUGCUACAAUGGCGCAUACAGAGGGCAGCAAGCUAGCGAUAGUGAGCGAAUCCCAAAAAGUGCGUCGUAGUCCGGAUUGGAGUCUGCAACUCGACUCCAUGAAGUCGGAAUCGCUAGUAAUCGUGGAUCAGAAUGCCACGGUGAAUACGUUCCCGGGCCUUGUACACACCGCCCGUCACACCAUGGGAGUGGGCUGCAAAAGAAGUAGGUAGUUUAACCUUCGGGAGGACGCU
rnacentral:rRNA from 1 species